rnacentral:rRNA from 1 species
UACGUAGGGUGCAAGCGUUAUCCGGAAUUAUUGGGCGUAAAGAGCUCGUAGGCGGUUUGUCGCGUCUGCUGUGGAAAAGACCCGGGACUCAACUCCGGUUCUGCAGUGGGUACGGGCAGACUAGAGUGCAGUAGGGGAGACUGGAAUUCCUGGUGUAGCGGUGAAAUGCGCAGAUAUCAGGAGGAACACCGAUGGCGAAGGCAGGUCUCUGGGCUGUAACUGACGCUGAGGAGCGAAAGCAUGGGGAGCGAACAGG